rnacentral:rRNA from 1 species
UUUCAAUGUGCGGCAGCCUGACGCAUUAAGCGACGCCGCGUGGGGAGAUGACGGCCUUCGGGUUGCUAAACCUCUAAGGAAUUCGCCGGGGGCCCGCACAGAGCAAUUGGCGGUAGCAUGUGGAUUAAUUCGAUGCAACGCGAAGCCAACCUUACCUGGGUUUGCCAUGCAGCCGCGGUACAUCACGUAGAGGUAGCGAGCGUUGUCCUUGAAUUGUUGGGUGUGCAGAGCUGGUGCAUGGCGGUGUCGUCAGCGUCGUGUCGUGAGAUGUUGGGGCUUAAGUCUGAGCGUGCGGUCGAUACGAGCGCAUCCCUUGAGUUCGGCAUGUUGCGAGCACUGUAAUUGGUGGUGACUCAGUGGUGAGACUGCCGCGGGUCAACUCAGGGAGGAACACCGGUGGGCGAUGGCGUCAGGUCUUCAUGCCCCUUAUGUCCAGGGCUUCACACAUGCUACAAUGGCUCAUACAGAGGGCUGCGAGACCGUGAGGUGGAGCGAAUCCCUUAAAGUGAGUCUCAGUUCGGAUCGGGGUCUGCAACUCGACCCCGUGAAGUUGGAGUCGCUAGUAAUCGCAGAUCAGCAACGCUGCGGUGAAUACGUUCCCGGUGCCUUGUACACACCGCCCGUCACGUCACGAAAGUUGGUAACACCCAGAAGCCGGCUGGCCCUAACCCUUGUGGAGGGAGCUGUCGAAGGGAUAAGUACGUUGCGUCCCCGAAAUUA